UAAUCCUUGAUACCUGGUGUUAGUGCUUUCUAUGUGCAAUGCACCUGGGCAAGGAUUUAGA
ensembl:miRNA ocu-mir-502b ocu-mir-502b